GCAAACUUGGUCAUUUAGAGGAAGUAAAAGUCGUAACAAGGUCUCCGUUGGUGAACCAGCGGAGGGAUCAUUAUAGAGUUAUUACAACUCCCAAACCCCAUGUGAACAUACCUUGCGUUGCCUCGGCAGGCCGCGUCGUGCCUCGCAGUGCCCCCCUACGCUGUAGGGGCCUGCCCGGCGGGCGCGGGUCACCCUGCCGGCGGCCUAUAAAACUCUGUUUUUGGCAUUGUACUUCUGAACAUAUAACUAAAUCAGUUAAAACUUUCAACAACGGAUCUCUUGGUUCUGGCAUCGAUGAAGAACGCAGC
rnacentral:misc_RNA from 1 species